GGUAGAUAAGUGAAAGGCCUGGGUAGAGAGACUUUGGGUAAGGCAAAGAACUAAGUUAGAGGUGUGUGUAAGAUUUCCUGAAGCAGCAGGGGAAGACUCCUUGCUAGCUGGUUUCCAAGGAGCUGGACCUGCUGCUGGAUGCUUCCAGGGUGCAGUGUGGAGCUAGGACAUGCAUGGAGCCUGCCUUAACCCUGCUGUGCUGCUGACCAGAAGCCACCUGAGGCAGGUGAAGUCCGUUGUGGUGACCAUUCCAAUUUGUGUUCCUGUGUGUUGGGUGCUGCAGAGCUGCCCCUGCCCCUAUGCCAAUGUGUCUUUUGCUGUGGAGCUCAUGUUGCUCUAGAGAAUGGGAUGCGGAAACUGAGGCACAGAGAAAUGCACUGACUUGCCCAAGGUGUCACAACAAGAAAAGGCCUUGUCCAACCUAUUACAGCAAUCUCCAAGCUCAGAUGACAUCAUCCCAUAAGGAUCUGCAGGACUAGCAGGAAUGAGCAUUUCUCUGGACCAGCGACACCCUAGCCAUGCAGUGAUGAGUUAGGCCAGAAGAUCAGGAAGCCUUGAUUACAAGGAUACUUGGUCCCAGAAAGGAAUCCUCAGCUGGAAGUUCUGCUUUUGGUGGGAACACGUCAAAAAAAUGCGAGCUAGCAGGCACACACGAAGAGAUCUGCUGGAUAUGGUAGAUGUGGAUGAUACGUAAGCAGUAAUAUGGUCAAAUUCGCGCUCCUCAGGAAUACUUAAAAUCUGAGAUCCUCUCACCAAUGCACAUUGUUUUCUCAUCAUUUAAUGCCCAAAUCUGGAAAAAAAACCAUAGGGCUAUGAGGAGACAGAGUAUAGUUGCUCCCCAUAAUAAACUCAGAGACCCCCCCACAUAUUUUAACUGCAAAUAUCCAGACCCUGCUUACUCAGUCAGAGCACCAAGUCCAACAAGGAAGCCUGGAGAAAUACUCUUGCAGACUCAGCUUUGGCUGUGGGACAGAUGGAUUGGAGCAUGUCGCUCCUUCAACAGCCCGUACUGGUUCUGGCCAAACCUUUAGCAUGAUGGACAGGAGCAAUGGACCCAGCAGGGCUUCACCAGCUGUAGGCUGAGAACAGCUGAUAGUGAAAGAUGAUUCAGUGAAUCCAAAGAGGAACAGCUUCUCUCACGGCCCUUUCAGUGGGGGAUGACUUGUGUAAAUCAUCACAUUCUUAUUAAACACCCAAAGGAGGGAUCACCACUGGCUCCCCAGAAGCAAUAUACUAAUUUCCAGAGCUGGUAUUCUGUUCUGCAUAUUUUAUUUGUUGUGAACACCAUGUUCAUUUACAGACUAGACUACUAAUAUAUAACAGAGCAAAUAAUUCUCAUUUAAUACUUUUAUCUGAUUAAUUUGUUUCUUCAUGGAAUGUCUGUGAACAUAUUGCAAUUCCUCAAAGGUAUUCAUCAUGUAAUUGUCAAACAUUUUUUUACUAUUUGGCUUGGUAAUGAACCGUUAUUUGCUACUUGAAACCUGCUAUUCUAGCUGUGCUGCUUAGUUGCGAUAGGUUAGAUAAGUUACGUGAUUUUUGUGAAUGCCUUGACCUGCGUGCACAUUUCCCACAAACAGGUGUACACAUGACUUCGAAAUUUGCCUUCCACAAACAUUUGUCGAUGAAAAUUGAUUCUUGGCUUUCACGAAUGGUGAACACAAAAGGGUGUGAGGACAGUUCAAAUGGAUUUGUUUAAAAAUCUAAGUGAAAUUUCACAGUGUGUUUGUCAAUAUUCACCUACCUCGAAUAAUAAAGUUCAGACUCAUUUUCUCACCAAUGGGAUCAGUUAUCUUCCCACUCAUAUUUGUUUUUCUGACUUUGGCUGACUUUCAGUCAAAGUCUGUAUUUGGCCUGGCAUCUUAACUAAGACCUGGCCUACACUUAAAAUUUAGGUCAACAUAGUUACAGCGGUCAAGGGUUGAAAAAUCCGCACUCCUGAUUGAUGUAGCUAUGGUGACCUAACCCCCUGUCAGCUGUGCUUGUUUGGGAGGUGGUAUUCCAACACCGAUGGAAAAGCCCCUUCUGCUGGUAUAGGCUGUAUCUGCACCAUGGAAUUAUGCCCACAUAGCUCCCGAGUGUAGACAUACCCUCCUUCUUGUGCUUUAUUUCAUUGUAAUGACAGUGCAGCACGCCGAGGUCUGUGCAUAAGAGGCACUAU